rnacentral:rRNA from 1 species
CCUACGGGAGGCAGCAGUGGGGGAUAUUGCACAAUGGGGGAAACCCUGAUGCAGCAACGCCGCGUGGGUGAAGAAGCGCCUCGGCGCGUAAAGCCCUGUCAGCAGGGAAGAAAAUGACGGUACCUGAAGAAGAAGCUCCGGCUAACUACGUGCCAGCGGCCGCGGUAAUACGUAGGGGGCAAGCGUUAUCCGGAUUUACGGGGUGUAAAGGGGGAGCAGACGGCGAUGCAAGCCAGGAGUGAAAGCCCGGGGCCCAACCCCUGGACUGCUCUUGGAACUGCGUGGCUAGAGUGCAGGAGUGGCAGGCGGAAUUCCUGGUGUAGCGGUGAAAUGCGUAGAUAUCAGGAGGAACACCGGUGGCGAAGGCGGCCUGCUGGACUGCAACUGACGUUGAGGCCCGAAAGCGUGGGGAGCAAACAGGAUUAGAUACCCGAGUAGUC